AUUGAACGCUGGCGGCAGGCUUAACACAUGCAAGUCGAGCGGGGUGAUGGUGCUUGCACUAUCACUUAGCGGCGGACGGGUGAGUAAUGCUUAGGAAUCUGCCUAUUAGUGGGGGACAACAUCUCGAAAGGGAUGCUAAUACCGCAUACGUCCUACGGGAGAAAGCAGGGGAUCACUUGUGACCUCGUGCUAAUAGAUGAGCCUAAGUCGGAUUAGCUAGUCGGUGGGGUAAAGGCCUACCAAGCAGACGAUCUGUAGCGGGUCUGAGAGGAUGAUCCGCCACACUGGGACUGCGACACGGCCCAGACUCCUACGGGAGGCAGCAGUGGGGAAUAUUGGACAAUGGGGGGAACCCUGAUCCAGCCAUGCCGCGUGUGUGAAGGAGGCCUUAUGGUUGUAAAGCACUUUAAGCGAGGAGAAGGCUUACCUAGUUAAUACCUGGGAUAAGUGGACGUUACUCGCAGAAUGAGCACCGGCUAACUCUGUGCCAGCCGCCGCAGUAA
rnacentral:rRNA from 1 species